GGAUGUGAGGGUGAUCUGGCUGCGACAUCUGUCCCCCCAUUGAUCGCCAGGGUUGAUUCGGCUGAUCUGGCUGGCUAGGUGUCCCCCUCCUCCCUCACCGAUCCAUGUGCGUCCCUCCCGAAGCUGCGCUGCGCGCUCGGUCGAAGAGGACGACCUUCCCCGCCGAGGAGAGGACCGGUCUUCGGUCAAGGGUAUACGAGUAGCUGCGCUCCCCUGCUAGAACCUCCAAACAAGCUCUCAAGGGAGUGAUCCGUCCCUCCCCUUCUAAAACAAGUGAACAGAACCUAGAGGAGCUCACAGAGGGAGAAGAAUGCUUCCUGGA
rnacentral:snRNA from 1 species